UCAAUAUGUUUAUGUUUUAUUUUUUUGGUGAACAUUCUCAAAACCAGUGUGUUAUAUUUUCUUUCAUUGGGUCAAAGUUUUGGUAUAUCGCCAAUUUAAUAUUGAAGGAAUUAAUGUGCAAAUAGCUUCGGUUUACCUAUUGUUGCAGGGGGGGCUUUAAUUAUUGACGCACAAUUAGCUGCAGAAGGGACGUAGUUGUAAAAACGCGGCAGAAUUUGGACAGCUUUUGUGCUGGUGAAGGAGAGAGAGUCGGUUAACACUGUGUGUACUGAUCGUGCCCCGUGCUGCUCUUUAUAGACAAUUAAAGUGCAGAUCCUUCCUGAAGCCUGGUGUGACUGGUCUCCUUGAGCAACCAUUCUGCAGCCGCUACACAAACACGUAGCAUUUCCUGUACCUGCUUCACAAUAAAAGCCUCCCGCUGGUUCGCCGAUGGAAAUCUUUUAAUAUGAAGCAGCAGCAAGAAGAUGGUGGAACUUCAACAGCCCUGAAACGGCUGACAGGGAUCAGUCAAAAUAAGCCUGAUAUCUGAAAGUACAGACAGGAACACGAGAGUAAAACUAAUCACAGAGACUCGGUUACAAAAGCAGCCUAUUCAGAGCUAAACGUAGACAUGUAAAAACAGCUUUCUCUGUGGUCACCAGCACAGACUCAGGUGUUGAACUGCCUGUAAACAGUGUUGCUAUUGCCUGCAAAGAGUAACGUUCAUAGACUGAAUAUAAAGUUUUAUAC